AGGGAGGCUUUCCAAGGACACACCACAGCACUGGCCAGGAUGGGUCUGAGCUCUGUUAGCAGGACCUGGGGUUAGAAGAGGAAGUAAGCAGGAUGCUGGGAGGUAGUUCAUCCAAUGCCAGCUGCCAGGCAAAGGAGAAGGAUGCAAACAAGAUAUGUUAAGUAAAAUACUCCUGGAUGAGCAAGCUGUAAAGGAAAAGGAAAUUAUUCCUGUGGAGCAGGAUGAAGGCUCACCAAACAGCAUGUGGGAAGUGCUCAGAAUGGGGAAUGGCUCUUUGAAGGGCAUGGAAAUCUGCACCAGAGCUAAAACCUGGAGCUGGCUCUCAAGUGAAGGGGGAAUCAUCUGAUGGAAGAUAAGGAGAAAUAAGACCGGCUGCACUGAAAAAAAUAAAACCGCUGACAUGAAGCCAGCAGCUCUUUUGUUCUUCCUCUGGAUACUCUGGUGAGUAAAACAUCACCUGCCAACACACCUCAGGCUGGGAGAGGUGGGGACUGUUCCUAACUACAUCUGAUUUUCUCUGCAGGUUGGUUUGAUGUACCCAGACCUUGGUGUCAUGGAUCUCACUAAAGAACUACCCACCAGCUGAAAACACAGAGGGGAAAAAAGGGAGGAGGGAGAAGAAUGAGGGCAAGUUAAACCUUUACAGUCAGAUGCCACCAAAACAUUAAAGCUCUGGCAGCGAAAUUGAGUAAGAGUCAGUUUAGAAGGGGAAAUGCUGGGAAGAGGAGAAGGGGGUGAAGUCAGCAGGGGUCUCUAAAUGCACCGCUUGGGGUGGAGAGCGUCCCCAUCCCGAGUGAGGCACGGCCAGCACUGGACGGACUCCCCGGGCUGGGACAGCGGGUCCCGGGACCCCCACGAGUGGGGCUGUGGGACCCCCGUGUCGAGAGGAAAAGCACAGCAAAGGCAAUCGCGAAGCUCGGG